UAAGAGGUCCAGCCUGCCCGGUGACAAAGUUUAACGGCCGCGGUACCCUAACCGUGCGAAGGUAGCAUAAUCACUUGUUCUUUAAAUAGGGACUAGUAUCAACGGCAUCACGAGGGUUACACUGUCUCCUUUCCUCAAUCAGUGAAACUGAUCUCCCCGUGAAGAAGCGGGGAUAUAACUAUAAGACGAGAAGACCCCAUGGAGCUUUAAGCUCAACAGCACCUCUAUACAAAUAUACCCCCACAACCCACGAGCCCUGUCUGUUAGCUUUAGGUUGGGGUGACCGCGGAGUAUAAUACAACCUCCACGACGAAUAGGCCUAAAACCUUUAUCCAAGAGCCACUGCUCUAAGAAUCAUAAAAUUGACGUAAAAUGAUCCGAUUUUCGAUCAACGAACCAAGUUACCCUGGGGAUAACAGCGCAAUCCAUUUCAAGAGCCCCUAUCGACAAAUGGGUUUACGACCUCGAUGUUGGAUCAGGGUAUCCUAGUGGUGCAGCCGCUACUAAAGGUUCGUUUGUUCAACGAUUAAAACCCU
rnacentral:rRNA from 1 species